ACUCGGUCUCCUUUACAACAAAAUCCAAUUCUUGUGUAGUCUAAUUGGAUUUUAACGACAAUCGGUGAAGGUCGAGCCCAGAUGGUCGAAUCAAGGCCCAUAAAAGGCGAAGCCCAACUUACCGUCGUCGUGGGUGUCAGAAUUCCGUUGCCCAUCGAUGUCAUGAAGUCCGCCGUGGACAUCUGCGAAUUCUGGCUGUCGUUGGAGAAGUCCGAGUUGUUGGACAUGCCAUCACUCAACUCCAGCUUCAUUUCGCACCGAAUUUAUUAUCAAUGAGGUAAUUUGGCUCGUUGAGUGGCCUCCUGCACCCAAACGGACACUUGUUACGUCGACAGCCCCCCGAUUCCGGCGCAAAAUCGCACGGCCCACAAGAAAAACACGACUGGAUGACUCACGAAGGGAAACCCUUUCUCAGAACCACUGACUAUGAUGUCACAACUAAAAAUAUCCGAAUGACUAAAGAACUUUUCGCCAAUGGCAAACUUACAUUCAACGAAAUGAAACGAAGUGAAGCGGAAGAACACGAAACUGUCACGUUCUAACAAGGAGGAGAAUGGUUUCGGAGAACGAUGACUCAUACUCGCUUCUGAUUUGUUGCAUGUUAUUUAAUUUUGAAGAGGAGCGAUUUUUGUUUGUUUCAAUUUUUUACUGUAUCAACCACUCACCGGAAACGCGAACCACAACCUUUGAUAAGAAUGACUCAUUUUAGAUGUUUUUUACGUAGUUUAUGUUUAAACGUUUCAGAUAAAAAACAUAAUAGUUCACCGAGAUAUACACACAAUGCAUUAAUUCCUAUUCGAAAUCAACUUUAAUGAGCUUGAUAAAGGUGGAAUAACACAAUGGUGUUAAUUAAGUACGGCUAUUUGGAAAUAUGGCAUUCGGAGAACUCAAACAUGAUGUUUACUACAAUAAUUAUUGUACUUCCUUCACACCUGUUUGUUACGGAAGAUUACUAAUUGGCACGAAUAAAUAUAUGAUUCACUAAAAAUACACACCUACUAGAACUAGAAGGUACACUCUUACGACCCACAUUUUUUUAACAAAAAUUGAUACGAAAAACAUAUAUCAAGCGCCCUUUUCUUGUAUUAGACUCUUUUUUUUUUUAAUAAUCUUUAUUGGUACAAAUAAAAGAGGUCAAUCCAUUCUUAGUGGUAGGCAACCAGUUGUACAGGGUGCUGCAUUUUGGAUGUCCGAAUAGGGAAUCUCCGAAACUAAGAGGUUUAGCCAAAAACGAGUAAUACAUUCUGGGGCUCAUUUUUUGA